rnacentral:rRNA from 1 species
CCCCUGACUCUGGGAUAAGCGGUGGAAACGCCGUCUAAUACCGGAUACGACCUUCCGCCUCAUGGUGGAGGGUGGAAAGUUUUUUCGGUCAGGGAUGGGCUCGCGGCCUAUCAGCUUGUUGGUGGGGUAACGGCCUACCAAGGCGAUUACGGGUAGCCGGCCUGAGAGGGCGACCGGCCACACUGGGACUGAGACACGGCCCAGACUCCUGCGGGAGGCAGCAGUGGGGAAUAUUGCGCAAUGGGCGAAAGCCUGACGCAGCGACGCCGCGUGGGGGAUGACGGCCUUCGGGUUGUAAACCUCUUUUACCACCAACGCAGGCUCCGGGUUCUCUCGGGGUUGACGGUAGGUGGGGAAUAAGGACCGGCUAACUACGUGCCAGCAGCCGCGGUAAUACGUAGGGUCCGAGCGUUGUCCGGAAUUAUUGGGCGUAAAGAGCUCGUAGGCGGCGUGUCGCGUCUGCUGUGAAAGACCGGGGCUUAACUCCGGUUCUGCAGUGGAUACGGGCAU